rnacentral:rRNA from 1 species
CCGGCGACCGGCGCACGGUGAGUAACACGUAUGCAACCUGGCCGCCACAGGGGGAUAACCCGCGGAAACGCGGCCUAAUACCCCGUGACGCCACCGGAGGGCAUCCUCCGGUGGCCAAAGGAGCGAUCCGGUGGCGGAUGGGCAUGCGGCGCAUUAGCUAGACGGCGGGGUGACGGCCCACCGUGGCGACGAUGCGUAGGGGUUCUGAGAGGAAGGCCCCCCACACUGGGACUGAGACACGGCCCAGACUCCUACGGAAGGCAGCAG